rnacentral:lncRNA from 1 species
AUACGAUAAUGUUCGCAUCCCCGACAUCAAAUUCAAGCUGAUACCGUUUCUAGAGCAAGUGGUAAAGGAUUUGGUAGUUGGCAUUCGAGACCCAAGUUCGAAUCCUAAUUGAUUCAUAUUUUCAGCUAAAUUUAUUUCUGUAUAAAAUAAACGAAGCAGAUAGUGUGCUACCUAUCUCUCCAAAAAAAUUCAAGGUGAUAAUCAUCGAUUAGUUACAACGAAGGCUCGCCGCGACAAGAGGGGCACCCGGAACAAAGAAGAAAAGAUGUAAAAUAUUACCGUUAUAUUGUGUCACUGGCACUUCCAAUCAAUCAAAUUUGUGUUUUAGAAUACAUCAAAUCAUUAUAAUCUUUAAUUAUGUGUAUACGUUUAUUUUUUUAAAAAAAUAAUAUUUAGUUAAUUUAAAAAUAUAGAUGUGGUAUAAGAGACGCGUGACAUAAAAAUAUCACCCGGUCACGUCGGAGAAGUACGAUAAAACAAGAUCCGUCCCUCGGGCAAACGCACGUGGGAUGGGACCCAUUGACAUGUGGCCACGUACUCAUGUGCCUCAUUCGCUCCGUGUAGUCGUGUAGAUGGGGAACGGAGCUUUCUUUCACUCCCCUCGUCCCACAACAAAAUAAACGAUGAAUGAACGUUUCACAAAAAAUCUUAAAAUAAAAAAUAGUAAUGAGUAAAUAAAUUUGUUAAUCCCGAAUAUGCUUUUCAAUUUUCUUUAACUUAAUGAGAACGAAAUUCUUUAUUUCAAACUGGAUUUACAAAGGCCUAGCUCGAAGCAUUCACGCGAGUCCUCCUCACACACCUAGAAAAGCCUCACUCUAACAACACAAUCACAAACCACAGCACAAGUUUCUCAAUGUUUCCUAGUAAUAAAGUGCAUUUUGUCCGAAAAGCCAAAAACACUGCAGUAAGAAGAUUAUUAUUAGAUCGUUACAGCGCAAUCCUUCUAAAGCAUCAGCGUAGAGAAAUACUGUUCGAAUUCCUGAUCGAUCGUCAAUUUCUGCGCACCCAAUCGAGCUUCUGAAUAGGUUAAAAUAUCAUUAACAUCUACCGAUUAAAAAUGCGCCAGCAUUUAUAGAGUAGAUUGAUGAGAGAAGCAUUCAUACCUUGUCCAAGACUCCACUGUCCAGAUGGAAGAACAAACGCGUUUGAUAAUAUCUCCGCAUCUGAACACUCCAUGCCGUUUCUCAGAAUUUCUGAAGUAAUAUCAUCAUCAAAUUCCUCGAAUCCCUGAAGCAACGCCGUCAUAUCUUUAUACUCUGGACCAAAUUGGAAAUCAUUCACCAGCCGUCCAUUUUCUGCCAUAGUGUUUACCACUGCGGAAUUAUCACUGUGGAAGGAAGUGAUACUGCUCCCAGAAGCAUUGUCGCUGGAACUGUUAGAAGACGUAGAAGGCCGAUCUGGGAACACCAGUCUCCCGGAUAAUUUCUCAGUGCUACCCUUAAAGUUGGCUUGAAGGGCACUAUCAUAAUCUUCAAUGGAAAUGAUACUGUCCCUAUCAGAUUCUUCUUCUUCUGGUCCGUCUCUCAUGAUCUCUUUGCCUCUUGGGUAUUUCUCUCCAUGCUGUGUAACUUCUUUAGCUGCAGACUCAUGAUUGAAGCUAUUCAAACCAUCCCGAAACCUAAAUUUGUGCUUCGACACUGGCAAUUCUGAAUCAUUGAGCUCACAAAGUAGCUUCCUUUUCUUAUUCACCUCGUUGCCAACCUGAGAAAAUUCUUCGGAGGGAUUGGAGCUACAAUGCAAUGAUGAAAUGAGAGGUCAUAUAAAGAACUAUCAAAUGCAUUACUACUAAUAUACCUUAUGACAAAAGCAUGAAAUUGGAUCGCAUACCGGUCUUGUAUCGUCGCCAACAAAGGAUAAUGUGAAACAAAUGAAUGUGUUUUUUGGCCCGUAUUCUCUGCUAGUGCUAUCUCACUAGCAUGAGUUUGUUCAGAACAUACUGAUCGAUACACAGGGAGGCAGUUGUUUGCACGUACUCAUAUUUUGUAAACCAAAAUUACCUUCUCAAACCGUUUCCAGAUUAUUCAGACAUCAAUACUACAAGCUUAGGAAUCUAAGAUACCUUUCAAACUAUAUUCCGAGUAUGAUCAUUCUGUGUUCUCUUCAUAAGUAAAAAUACACUACAACGAUUUAACUUAGAAAACUAAAUCAGUUGCCCGCUGAUUUCUCUUGUCAAACCACUAGCUCAACUUACACAUAGCACAUCAUAAUCGGAAAAAUAGGCACAAAACUAUUAAAACAGCUUAUGCUGCAGUUUACUCUCGAUCAGAGAAUCUACUGAAGAAGACAAAGCAAGUGUUGAUUCGGCUCAAAGAAGCUGCUUGCCACAACGCAGCUGCAAAGGCCCUACUUAUUGAGCGCGAGCAUGGCAAGUGUAUUGUAGCUGAAGGGGAUUUGAUUGAUGCAGAUGGAAACUCCUCCUAAAGAUGACGUGACAACCGAAUCGCCAGAUAUCGCUUCUUCCUUUGCUAAGAAAACUGCGUGGUCCUCGUCGAACUAAUUAAUUCAACUUGAAGUAGAAAUUAAAGUUCGGAGUUUUAAUUGGAACUGAUAGAAGAAGUAUGGUGACCUAGAUGGAACUUAAUCAUCAACCAAUUGGGGAAUUCGCGCUACGGCAAGCUCGAGCAACUCGAUCAAAAUAGCAGAGAACAGUUUGUUCCGCGCGAGGAUUGAAGAAGAACGGUGCGCAAAUUUCCAUUUUUCCCUUCGGUAAAUAAGAAAGAAAUUAACUGAAAAGAAGGGAGAAAUCGCAGCCCCUAACCUGUUGAUCAGAGCCUGUUCCUCCAUGUCGACUUCAUCCAUCGGUCCCUCGCAUUAGCGCAAAACACCCAUCUCGAAUCAAACGAGCUACGGUCGACAAAUCCCUAGCGCGCGCGCGCGCGAGAGAGAGAGAGAGAGAGAGAGAGAGGGAGAGUAAACUUUCCCCUUUUCUUCUAACUUUUAGGACGAGGAUUCCCUCUCACUCUCUCUCUCUCUCUCUCUCUCUCUCUCUAAAAAGCGGAGACGAACAAGCCGAUGCGNCCCUCUCACUCUCUCUCUCUCUCUCUCUCUCUCUCUAAAAAGCGAUGACGAACAAGCCGAUGCGGAGCGCGAAUCGUGGCGCGGGGAUGGACGGCGGAGAUCGCUUUGGGAAUCGAUCGUACGCGGCGGGGCCUUGGGCACGAGUGGGGGGGAGUGGGACCACCUGGGUAGGGGAUUAAUCUUAUCGGUUCCUUCCCGCAGCAUGACCAGCAUUCUUAUCACUAUUAUUAUAAUUUUUUAUUAUUAUUAUAACUUACAGAGCAGGGAUGCGGAUCUGCUGCGUGGGUUCGUGCAGCGAAUCUUCUUACAAGUCGAUCUCGGAGCCGUGCGGAUGGAGGUUCACGUGGACUUACAGCAGGGGAGGAAACCGUUCGGUGCUCGACCAGGUUCACUGCACGCUUUAUAAGCACUGUUACUAUAUAAUACGCCUUGUAAUUUCUACCGAGAAACGCAGUUGUGUAACGAUCUUAAUAUAGCUAAAAUUGUUAUGGAUUUAAUUUAGUUAUAUUGCACAAAUGACAAAUUCGGUUAGAUUCGGGACGCUGUGAUUUUCAUCGGAGUGCAAGAAAAGUAAAGUCUACAUGCGCGUACACGAGAUAGGUGCAUCUAACGGAAAAAUCAUGAAUUCAGUUCCCAAAACAUGGGUCGGAUCUUCUAAAAUGAAAAUAAACUCCUGGUAACCUUUUUGCAACAGAUGCACUUUUGUUGAGUGUGUCAUAAGCUAUUAAGGCUACCAAGCACAGCCAUAGAAAGAACAAAUAGUUGUCACGGAACAAACCCCCGCCCCAAAGUUAAAAAAAAAAAAAAAGAAAAAAAAAAAGAAAAAAAAAGAGGAGACAGGGAAGGUUCAACUUUUACAUAAAGAAUCAGAUGUGCAAAUUAGAAAGUAAAUUUACAACUUCUGUAACACAACAUAUAUUGACUAGCCCACAAAUUUCAAUGUAAACCCUAAUGGUUCAGAUGACGAGGAGCAGAGUCCUGCUGAUCACCGAUCACCGAAAUAGACAAAUUUGUAGUGUUGCCACAGAGGAUUCGCACUUCUUUUAUCCUUUUCAUAAAUUACAGAAAACCUUAAAUAUCUAUAAUAAAACUAUGUAAGACCACAAAUGAAGCCAAAAUUGUGGUACACAUCAGCUUUCCAUCUUGAGAACACAUACUUUUGGAUUCUGAGCUUUUACCUUGUCAUUCGCAUUAUGAUCCACAAAGAAAAGUAUGGUAUUCAUUAAUAUUAGAGAUAACCAGUUUGUAGAUGCAUAGGCAUAUUGCUAAAUUAAUCAGAUAGACAGAUUACAUGCUCGUAGAGAGACCCCCCUGCGAAAUGAUUUCCAGGCGCUUGUUAGUAACUCAAGUGGGGGCAUUCAGCAGUAGCUAAACCAUAAAAGAAGCAUCCGCUUCACCAUUAUUACUUUCUUGCCAUCCAGAACCUGCCCUAUGUUUACAUACAGGGCAUGUACCUUGUUGACGUAGCCAUGGAUCGAUGCAGUUAGCAUGAAACUGAGUGAGAGGAAAAAAAAAGAUAGUUGUCGCCAUAACAAAGAUCGACGCAAAAACAUAGUGAAUAAGAAAAAACUUUGGCGGAAAAAAGGAAUACAGAUUUUUGCUGUUUAUGCAUACCCUUAGUGAGUAGGGUUGAUUACCUGAUGCAAACAUGGUAGACUUCUUAUUAGUUCUCCCACAUUGACUUGCUCCAAGCAAACACUGCAUGUGAGUUCAUCUUCUGCUGUUUUGUUAGUCCCAUCCUGUUUGCCAUUCUCUUGCCUUUUCUGCUCAGUGACAAUGAAAUCAGUAAGAAUUUUUCUCAUUUCUCAAGGUAGCUACAGCAGCCAAAAGGGUAGAUUGUGGAGCGAAAAAUGUGAAGCCCAAGCCCACGCGAAGCAAAGCAUACGACGCAUGUAGGAACCCGUUACCCUCGAAAGCUAAAACCUUUAGAUUUGGGCCCGAUGCGUAACUGUGUAUCAACCCUUUAUUUAAUUACUGUCUUUCCCUGUGAGACUAUUUUUCACAUGUGAACAACCCAACAAAGAGGUUAUUUGAAAUAAAAGAAAGUGAUAACUGAUAGAACAUUCCACCUCCAUCAUCUAAAUGUCGGUGCAUGAACCAGCAUUUUCACGAUAAGUCAUGUGAAUUUCAGCAUUUCAUAUAAUAUGUCUAUUACAGUAAUUUGUAAUAAAAUAAGAAGCAACUAAACCUAUCAAAAGAUCGAGCUUUCUUAAAAUUUAUAAGACUGGACAACUUUGAUACUUCCUAUCACUGCAAUAGCUACAGCAGCAAAAUUUUUAUCCAUCACCUGAAACUUUAGAUAUCAUAUUAUUAAAAAUGGUCCUGUGCAUCAUCUAUUGUGAGCCAUGAAACUGACACUACAAGGGUACUAAGAAAUCUUGAAAGGAUCCUCCAUUCCUUUUCUCCCACAAAGUAUAUAAAAGGGUCUACUGCACUGUCUUUGCUGAUAUGCCAGUGGCACAUCUUAUCUAUUGGAACAACUUCAUAAUCAAGUAAAUGAUGACAGAAUUAAGUUCCACAAGCAACCGUUUGCAUUGUGUGCAAGAAAAAUAAUAAUAAGAAGAAAGAUAACUUAGCUGCCAGAAAGAUCCUUCACUCCAUCUAUGGUUAAAGAAGGUCCCACAAUACAUUGCACUACCCAGAAUUUCAACCAGACAAUAAAUUUUCUGGCUACCUAUUCGCCAUCACCCCUUUGGUGUCUCCUACACUGAUGUAUUAAGUACGAUCCAAGUCUUGAGUUAGGACAAAAAUGAGAAUAAGACAUGACAUGGCUCACAGUGGUGGCCUACAGUUUUGAACUACCCAAACAACUGAAUAAACUUCUAGCUGAUUUACCGUAUAACAGUAGGAUGAUGAUGGCGCAGAUAAAGAUAGAAUGAUUCAUCCAAAGCCACUAAAUUGAAUUGUUGAGUAUUUGUAUAGAAGAGAAAAGCAAUUCGAUUAUGCACAUUGUAUUUAUACAGACUAUAAUUUGCUCAUUUCAAUAGAUCUUUCGUUUUCUUACCUACUUGUAUGCGUAGAUUAUGCAACAGCUAAACUUUUUUGUUUAAAAUUCCAUGAAUUUAAAAGUAUAUACAGCAAUUAAACUACAAAAUAGAAUGUAAUGUCCACAAAAUACAAAAUAGAAUGUAAAUUGGUACCUCAUUCACAAAUCCUGAAGAUGAAGGACCCUGUUGCGCAGAUGAUACAUCACUGGCGAAACCAAAAAUUCAAAUGUAACUAUUCAAUCAAAAUUAUGCGGAUUCAUAUACAGCAAUCACACUAAAGGAAACCAUAUAAAUCAUUUGGUACAAUUGCUAGAUCAGUGACAAUGGUAUGUAUGCUAAUGUGGGAAAGGGUUCGAUCCUACCUUUGUCGGGUAGAGGAAGCUCCCCGAUUCGACUGACCUUUGUACUUAUGAACAGGAAGAGCAUUUAUCUCUUCCUCGGUCAUAGAAGGAGAGUGAGGACUGUUAUCAGAGUCUAAGGCUCUCAAAGCAUCGUAAUCUACAAAAAGAACAAGGCAACCAUGGGUCUUAGACAGACAGAAAAAACAUUGUCAUUCCCUUAAAAAAAGAAAGGAAGAGAAACAGAAAAAAGAUAGAAACUUCACAAUAUGGCAGUACCUAAAUCAUCAAACUCUCGGUCGAGAAGAGCAAGUUGGAGUCUGAGGCUUUGUAGGCGCCCUCUUGUUGCAAAUGCUAUUGAAGGUGGAACAUGCAACCGAAGCUCAGUAUGGCCAAGCAAGCCACUUGCAGCAGCUGCCGCAUGAGCUUGGGCUUGUGCUUGAAGUUGCUGACAUGUAGCAUACAUCCUAAGGCCGGUGGCCAUUAGAAACACACCCAGCACUAGCCAAAGCUACAAAGUACAAUACACCAAUAAAAGGUAAAUAAAUCUUUUCAAUCAUAUAGUUGACAUUUUUGAUAAGAAAGUAGAACAUUUUGCAUAGAAGUACCAGAAAGUUUGGCGACAUCUGAUGCGAGUUGAGUAUCAUGAAGAGCAGGAGAACUGCCAAAUCGACAAUUUUCGGCAAUAUUAAGUAUGACAAUUAAACUAAAUUCUGAAAAAAAAAAAAAAGGAGGAAAUCUUUCACACUCAAUUUGCUUAAAGAAGUUAAGGUGGGUACCUGUGACGAGAAAAGCCAUAGAAUUGGUAUUAACUGGCCGAGUUCCUGCAUGAAUUCGCUGCGUAGCCACAGAGCAAAUAAUAAGAACGCAUAGAAUGAAGUAUAAUAUCCCAAACCUUUGGAAUAUGCAAACAAGUACAUACUAUGGCGCGCCGCUCUGGAACGAAACUUGGUAACCCCAUUUCGGGGUCGGCCCUGCUGCCCCGGAAGACAAAGCUCAUGGUGCCUGAUGCCGACUAGAACGGUCGGAAACACCACAAAUUCCGACCCAAGUUUGCUUCUUUUCGCUGAUCAGAGCAGCAUAGAAGAAUGGGAAUCUAGUAGAAGAGAUGUUCUUCUUCCCUAAAUUCGAAUCAGAAUAAGAAAUCAUAUACAUAUAUGCUCACAUAUAAAAGGAAAUCGUAUAUAAUUGAGUUCCAAAUGUGACAUUUCACAAGGUUAUCGUACCGAAAGCGAUUUUUCAACAAAACCCUACCUAAUUACGAUUACCAUUCAGAUGAUUCCAAACAAUUCUAAAGCCCUCUAGUCUCCAGAACUUUCCACCGAAAACCCUAGAAUCAUCGAUUUCGGGGAUUAUUAACGACCAAUUCGAAUCCGAUCAACUGGGAAACAUGAAAUCGAAGCGAAUGCGAAACAAAAAGUAGAGAAAUUUACCAAGAACAAACACUGAUUCCCUUGAGGAUUACUCGGCUCUCCGUCGAAUAAAAGGGAACGAGAGGAGAGGCGCAGGGGGUAAAUAAACGGGCGAAGAAGGAUAAGCGGCGCUUUUAUCCCAGCGGUAUAAUUAAUUAUUUAAUUAUUAAGAUUAAUUCCGGAGUUAUUCGAGGGGUGUUUUCCGAAAUACGAGGGAGAACUUAUCCGGAUGUCGAGCAUUAUUAUGAUAGAGCGUGCAUAAAGUUAUUCGACGUACUAAAAUAAGGUCUACGUCCAAAACCAAGUUGUACCUAAUUAGCACGGACCACUCAAAUUAAGAUUUGGAUCAACAAUUAAUAAUUACUUAGACUCUUUAUUUUUUUUAUUAAAACAAUCUAUAUAUAUAUAUAUCUCUCCGAUUUAUUAUUAUCCUUGUUAUCCCGGGUGGCUAAUGGGUCCAGGCCCGAGCCCAAACGGGUGGGUAAAGACCUUACAAUGCCUAAAACCAUACGGGCCGGGCCCAAAUCAAAGAAGUUUUAAAACUAUCCUAAAAAGUUUUAAAACUAGCAAUAGAUUCUCCGCAUUUUUGAGGCCCUAGUUGCCACACUCUAUAUAGCUAAAUUUAUAUACUUAAUAAAUGAAGCAGGUAGUGUGUUAUCUUUCUCUUUAAAAAAAGAAAAAAAAACAGUGUCGAAGAUAGUGGUUCUUAUUCUGUUGGAAAAGUUUUUAGAUAAUGGGAGUUUCUGAAGCCGUAAAGAAUCCUAAGCUUGUAAUAGAUUCAUGCAAGAACCAUUGUCUGGGGCAGAGUGGUUCUUAUUCUGCCGAAAAAGUUUUUUCAAAUGGCAGGGGUUCUAAAACGAAAAACAGGGGUUUCAUUCAAGAAAUUUCGAUUUUACUGCAAUAAAAAUAUUGUCGAGAGAAUUAUAAUACAUAUAAAAAAAAAAUUUUUUCCUAAAAUAUUAAUCAAACGACAUUUCGUGGAACACCUUGCAUCAAUAAAUCUUGACAGUAUAUAAUAACUCAAAAUAAUAUUACCACGAAUAAACACCUCACACACUUGUCUUCUAGUCAAUUAUCCUCUCUUUUUUUCCUCAAAAAAAAAAAAAGUUAAUUAUCCUCUUCAUUUGUAAUAUUUUAUUUAAAUAUAUACUCUAAUCAAUCUUGCAAUUCUCUUGCACAUAAAGAGAAGGUCACCUUCUAUCUAUCGACUGAAAGAAAUAUCGACCAAUCUAGCAUUUGACUCUUUGACAUGACCAAAUUGCUGGGCGACAAAGUGUAGGACCGCAAUUUGAAAAGUAGUUGAAGGACAAGCACUGCUGAGAACACGAAAUAACCAUUGAAAUUAUAUAAUGUUAGCCGAAUGGCAAACCAUUAUGCCAUUGCCCUACUAUACACCCAAAGAAUUACAUUAGCAGGACCAUCUACAGUCAUCUACAAUCUUUAUAAUAAAUCAUCCACGGCACGCGUAUGCGCCGCCACCAGAUUAAACACCCUAUGAAAAUUCUUCUCACUGAGCUGUGACCGGAUAAUGGCUCUAAGAUGUGGAUCAGUGCGAGUUUGAAAGGCGGCGUGCGAACAACAACGGAUGAAAUGGUCUCACUUUGAGGAGGAGAUUGCGCUCGGAAGUGCAGGAGUCACGUCAUAGAGAGAGGGCCUCGGUGAGGCGCUGGGCGGCGAGGUCGCAGCGGACGGGGGCGAAGCCGACGCGGCGGUUGUCGAGGUCGUAUUCGACCCAGAGGUUCUGCUGGUGGUGGUGGCCAAUGACGUAGGCCGACAUGGGCACCAGGUCGGAGUUCCCGAACGUGGCGCACCAGACCCCGUCCCCACCCCGCCUCUCCCCCUCCACCCGGUACAGUAACCGCUCCCCGCUCACCCUCAGCUCCGCCCCGCGGAGCACCACACCCACCUCCGGCAAUCGCGACGGCAAUGGCGCCCCCGCCCCCGCCCCCGCCGCUGGGAUCCUGAAGCAGAGGUCGAACGCGCCUUGGAAGACGAAGUCGGGCUCGUUGAGCGGCGUGAGGAGCGCCCGGGUUUGGCGUAAAAAUUCGACCUUGAGCGCGUCGUAGGCGUCGCCGAGGAGGAAGGUGAACUGGGUCCCCGAGUCCACCAUGGUUUGGCCCGCGCCCGUGUGGUCCGGGGCGAGCACGGACUUGGGGAUGGGGAGGAGCGCGGCGCCCACGCGGAUGCCCUCGAGCUGGACCGAGUAGGCGACGCGGUCGAAGUAGGGGAGCGGGAGCGAGAUCUCGAUGAGCGGGGUGUAGUUCAAGCGCGGAGCGAAGGGCGCGGAGCCCGCGUCGCCCCCGAGGAGGAGGACCCCGGAGUCGUCGCGGUCGGAGAUGCAGUAGGAGAAGCGGCGCGUGGCGCUCUGGGUCACGAAGGAGAGCGCGCCCCUGUUCAUGCCCAGGAGCCCGUGGGUGGCCGCGGCGGCGGCGGAGGAGUCGUAGGAGGAGAAGAUGCAGCCGAAGACGGUGCGGAGGGGAGGGGGGCGGCCGAGGAGGAAGGAAUCGGCGGCGAGGGAGCCCUCGGAGGAGGAGGCGUCGGCGUAGGAGAGGGAGACGCGGCAGGCGUUGGAGGAGGGGUCGCACGAAGGGGGGACGGGGAGGUCGCGGGCCUGGGAUUGGCAAGCAGGGGAGGAGCAGGGGAGGGGCCGGUACGAGGAAGAGGCGAGCAGGUUGAACGAGUUGGGCGACGAGGACGUGUUGCAGAGGAGCCACGAGAGCUCGCUCCCGGUGUCGAGCACCAUGGACACGUUCUGGGGCGGGGCGCCCACCGCGGGAAGGGGAGAGUAUACGACGGAGGAAGAGAGGAGCCCAUUACUUGUGGUGUUGCGCACCGUGGAAGAAGAUGAAGGAGAGGAGAGGAGAGGAUUUCAAUAAUGCAGUACAAGUGCGAGAGAAGUGAGUGAACAUAAAAGGGCAGAGAGAGAGCGAAGAGAAAAAUCUGUGCUUUGUGUGGCGACGCGGACGGAGGAGGGAAAGUCUCCUCUCCCUCCCCCCCUCUCUCUGUCGUUUAUUGCGAUUGUGGAAACAGAACAAGUUGCUCUGUUUCUAAGAGGGGGACCCUCUAUGGAGAGAGGAUUAAUAUUUUAGUGGAAAUUAUUAAUUUAACAGACAAGCAUGUGGACUAAUGUUAGAUUUGAUUUUAUCUCUUGUCGGGCAAUUAGACCAUUAAUUUAUAAUUAGUGAUUGCAACACCUCCCUCCACCCCUCUCUCUCUCUCUCUCUCUCUCUCUCUCUCUCCUUCUCUCUCUCUCUCUCUCUCUCUCUCUCUCUCUACUCCCGAGAUCUCCGCCCCUCUUAUAUACAAGUCACACUAGUUUGGUGAGAGUUUUAUGUGUUGCUUAACUCUCUGGCAAUGAACGUGUCCAAAAUAGUUAUUUUAGUCAGACUAUUAUUCUAAAAAUAUUAGUGAUCGAAUAUGAAAAGAAAAAUUUGGUAAUUAGAUUUUGCACUAAUUUGGUUCUACGAAUUCAUUUAUUUUUCUGAUCUAAGAUGACCUGAUAAGUGUAGUAGUCUUAAUUUCCGCAUGAAGCAAAUUUUGAACCGAAAAAUUCACUCACAAAAUAUAACUAUCAAUCAAUUGUUAUAAGCAGUGCAUGAUUAAACUUUUAUAUGAAAGAAAUAGUUAAAAGUAUUAUACUAGUAACUAAUACGUCAAAAAUGGAUCGACACGCACACAAUUAAGAAUGGAUGGUGAUUGGGCAUCAUAGACCUCCGAGAAGGUAGAAAGCGAGGCUGCUAGCUACAUCCGUAACCACCAGCAGCAUCACAUACAUGGCUCUGUUCAUUAGUCCAUGUCAUGGGACUUUGCCAACCUUGCACGAUCCUUUACAGCCGCAGAGAUUGAGAUAAUGUGACCGUCUCCGCGCCAGGACUCGCAGCAAAAGCCACUGUACCAUCACGAAUGCAUAAAGUAGUUGGUUGCUCUUGUCCUCUUCACUAAAUUCUAUGUGUGGUGUCCUUAGGCAUCUUAAAUAAAAAAAAUUAAUAGCUAAAACUUACCGGGACCCUUAAAUAUAUAAUUUCUUGCAUGUCAAUUAAGCAGAUGGCAUGCUAUUUUCUCUUCAGAAACAAAAUAUUAUAAGCGCAUAUAGAAACUCAAUAUCCGCACUCCUAUAUAUAUUGUGUAGAGUUAUGUAACAACCUAUAGUAUCCGGGGGAGGGAGGGAUCGGAGUUGGUAGCAUUACCCGUAUAUGUGGGCCGUGUGACCUGAGGAUAACCUAACCCUAGCUGAUCCAACUCUCAACCUGAAUAUCCUAAUCCCAUCAUUAUCCUAUACAGUGAUGAUAUGUACAUAUUGAUCCAUAUGUCACCAUUCAAUAAUCAAAAGGAGGACCCUUACGUUUUUCUUUUCUUUUUUUUUUUCACCAACAUAUAUAUAUAAUAUAUAUAUAUAUAUAUAUAUAUAUAUAUUAUACUGAUCUAAUUAGUACGUGCGAUGCAGCUGGAUUUUCCGUUUUGAAUGAUUGAAUUCAAAUUAUUCUAUUUUAAAAUCCUACUAAAGGAGUAUUAUUAAUUCAAUUCCUUUAUUGUGUAGAUUUGGGAUACGCGGUUUCAUUAUUAUUAUUAUUGAUGGCGCUAGUAUUUAAUUACAAAUUUCCACUGGGUUGACGUAAAUUAACAAUGCUUUUGUAUUGUUUGUUCACUGCACAAAAAAUUCGUUAAUUAAUUAAUUGUUUGUACAAAAAAAGAGAGUGGUACGGUGAAGUUGGAGCAAUUCGGAAAACACGGGGAAUCAUCACCAUUAAUAACAGCGACGUGGGCCCCCAACAAUUUAGAAAAAGUUUCCACCGGGACAGUGCAUAAAUGGGCGCAGUCCUAAAAAUAGCCUCCCAUUUAUUAGUAUUUCUCCGCACGACUUUUGAAAAUGCUUCUAUCCAGCUGUAAAAAAAUUAAUUCCGAAAAUUUUACUGCAGCAACAAUCACACGCCCUCUUUGGAUAUCUCUGAAAACGUAGCAUAAUAUAGUUAAAUUAUACUAUACCGAUAGAAAAAUUAUUUUCUGAAACAUUUGGGAAAAAGAAAAAAAACGAAAGUUUUAGAGUAUAGUUAAGCUAUACUUCAAAAAAUAAAGUAAAAUUAUAAUUCACUUUAACCAAAGAAAAAAAAUUUCACCAUUCUUAAACUUCCUUAUCCCAAAUAUGUAUUAAGUUCUAAAUUUUAAAUUUCAAACGAGAUUUUAAAUUUUAAAUUUUAUAAUUAAAUUUAUAUUAAAAUUUUUAAUUCCAAAUUUUAAAUUUUAAAUAUCAAAAAUUUAAAUUUUAAAUUUUCUAAUUUUAUAAUUUUAAAUUUUAAUUUUUGAAUAUCAAAAUUUAAAUUUUAAAUCUUUCAAUUUUAUAAUUUCAAAUUUUAAAUUUUAAAUUUUAAAUUUUCAAAUUUCAAAUUUCAAGCUUUAAAUUUUAAAUUUAAGUUUUACAUUUUAAAUUUCAAAUCUCAAAUAUAAAUUUUAAAUUUCAAAUUUCAAAUUUCAAACUUUAAAUUUUAAAUUUUAAGUUUUAAAUUUCAAUUUUCAAAUUUCAAAUUUCAAAUCUCAAAUCUCAAAUCUCAAAUCUCAAAUUUCAAAUUUCAAAAUCUCAAAUCUCAAAUUUUAAAUUUCAAAUUUUCAUUUUUAAAUAUAUUUGUUAAGUUUUAAAUUUUAAAUUCUAAAUUCAAAUUCUAAAUUUUAAAUUUAAAUUUAAAUUUAAAAUCUUUGAUUUCAUAAUUUUAAAUUUUAAAACUUUGAUUUCAAAAUUUUAAAAUUUAAAUUUUAAAUCUUUGAUUUCAAUUUUUUGAAUUUCAAAAUUUAAAAAUUAAAUUUAGAUUUUUCUAUUUUAAAUUUUCAAAUUUGAAUUUUGAAAUUUGAAAUUUUAGAUUUAAACUUCAGUUUAUAAAUUUAAACAAAAAUAUUUUUUUUAUACUUUACUAACAUUUUUGCAGUAUUUUUUUUUUAGAAAUUCAGCGCGCCACACUGGGCUUAAUUAAUGAGAUUUGUUUUGGCUUAAAUAAACUAACAUUCUGUCUUGCAGCGAGAGGCUGGAUUUGCACGAGUUACGUUCGACAUGGCGGAAGGUCGAGUUGGGUCGAUUCAUAUUUGAAAUAGUGUGAAAUUGAUUGGACCAAGCUACAAUUGAGAUCAAUGGGCGUCGUACUCGUAAAGUUUAAGACUCCGUUUGGUUCGGGAAUAAAGAAGGAAUAAUAAAAGUUAUCCCCGCUAUCCCGUAAAACGAGAUGCUUUUGGACUGAAAUAUUUUAUCCCUAUCAAACAUUACUAUUCUCGACUAUCUCGGCAUAGCUUGGAAUUUACUAUUCCAUUAUUUUGGUAGAAUAGUGCUAUUCGAAAAUUUAAUUUCAAGUUUUAAUAAGAUUAUAAAUUGAAUUAAAACUAAAUUGUAUAGACAUAACAUGUUAUAUAUUAUAAUAUAUUAUUUCUAUUAUAAAAUUAUAAUUGUACUACUUAAUUUAUUACUCUAAUAAAUAUUUAAUUAGCUAUUUGAGUAAUUAAUUUGCUAAUCAAAUAAUUAAUUAUUUAUUAGUGUACUUAUUCAAUAAUCAAUAUUUAUAUUGAUUAAUUAAUCAAUAUUUUGACUAAUUUAAUUAUCUGAUUGUUAUUAACUAAUUAAUUUAUUAAUUUAUUAAAUUACUUGUGAUCAAUUAAAUUAUUAAUUACUAAUUAAUUUAUAAUUAACAUUUAGCGUUAUUUAGCAAUAUUCAUGAUUAAUUAGUAUAAUAUUAAAUAAGUUGAAUUAUUAUUUAAUCAAUAUUUUUUAUUAAUUAAUUAGAUAAGAUAUUAUUAUAUUAAAAGUAUAAUUAUUUUUAUUCUUACUUUUUCAAUUUAACUAUCCAAAUGCUAUUUUGCUUAUUUCCGAAAAAAGUUUAUUUUUCAUUCAAAUGCAAAAUUAAUUUUAUUUUUAUUUAUCUUAAUAGCUGCAUCUAUUUUAGUGGUAGCCUAAAAUAGCUAAUUUUCGAACCAAACGAUAACUAGGUCAAUUUAUUAAGUAUUUCGAACAGUUCGAGCUUAUGAUAUGACAGUUUGGAUGCUAACUCAUCUUGAAUGAUUGAUUAGAAGUGUCAGCACAUUGGAUCAAAUGAGAAGAUCUCGAGCCUGAGCGCUGCUUAAUUACCAGCUGGUGACAGGACCAGCACAAAUGUCUUUAAAGGCGAACAUAAUAAUUAAACUAACAUCAUUGUUCGAUAUAUUAAUAGCUAGGUUAUAUAUAUAUAUAUAUAUAUAUAUAUGUAUAAUUUUAAAAAGCUUUAUUAGUGGAUCUGAAGUCUCAACUCUAUUAUAUAUUGUACUUGCAUGCUCGGUCAACAUUUGUUUACAUGGUUAAAAGGUUAAUAAUUAAGCUUCGAGGAUGUCGGUUUCCUGGUCUUCAAAGCGGCCUUAUAUAUAGCUAGGUAGAGAGGGUACGUUGUAUUGCGUAAGUUGGUAGGUUUAAUUAGUUCAUGAUUAAUUUUACUGCUGUGUCCUGUAGCUUCCUUUAUUUGCAGAAACGGACAAAAUAAAGCACACUCCAUAUAUUUUGUCCUUAAUUAGACGUUUUGGCAUUUUAUAUGGCACAAUGAGUUUGAUUUGAAGCGUAUCAAACUUAGUACAAUCGUCGUAACCCCGAGUAGUCAAGUUUUUCUAGAGCAUGCAUGUACGUUGUGCUGUGAUGUAGGGAAAAGAUUGUAAUAAAGCAAGAGUAUAAUAAAAAGCGCGUAUCUGCUAAUAAUAAAAUUGAUUAUGAUAAGAACACCAUUUAUCGAAAUUAUAUAGGAUAUGCGAGUAAUUCUUUUUAUAUAUAUUCUUAUUUUUAGGAUUAAUUUGGAUUUCAAUUUCAUGACAAAUUAAAUAGAAUCCAAGUGUCUUAUUAAAGUACGUAGGAUUUAUGUGGAAAUUAGUUAACUAUUCACACUCGCACCUUUGAGCUUACUUGUACAGUCAAAAGGGAGGGAAAAAAAAACUUACUAGCAAGCAUGUACUAUUACAAUAUAUUAUGCAUUCGUGUUGUUCAAUUAUACAAGAUUUUUGUUUUAUGUGACGAUUUCCUCACAAUACAGGUGUAUUUUAACGAUGUACAAUACACUAAUACAUAAUAUACGUACGUACGCUGUGGCAUACAUUGUUUGGCAUCUAGCUCAGGAGAAAUUUAGGCAUCAAACCGAGUACAGCACUAAAGCCUAUGUAACUUGUGAUGGUGUUCGUAGAUCAUUAGUUUGACGUGACGAGAUCCACGAUUUUGACUAAGAAAGAUACCCACACAGCACGUGGAAAGUUAAAGAGACGUGUGUACCUUGGAGCCCAUGAAAUGGUGCAACAUGCAUUGGUUCAUAAUAGCGCCUCGACCUGACACAGACGCGUUUCUGAAUUAAUACCAUAACGUGUUCCCACCCUUUUUACUGGUCGAGAUUAAAACGAGAAAUAUUAACUGUAUACUCAAAAAUUAACGAAACUUCCAUAUUUUUUCUAUCUAAGAAUUACAAACUUAAUUCACACUAGUUUUAUUAUUUGUUUAUAUUUUAAAACUAAAAUUUUAAUAAAAUUUGUUUAAAUUUUUAGAUGGAUAAAAAAUGCAAACUUUAUAUCAUGUUCUUGGUUUACAAUCAGACAAUCUCUAGCCUUUGACAAAAAAAAAAGAAGUUACCUACAUAUGAACAGUUAUAGGGAACGAAAGAUGGUGUUCUUAUAGAGUUGUGCUAAUUUCCCCUUCUUAUAAAAAGAGGAUCGUCCAUCUUGUGAUUCGCAUGAAAGGUCGAGUCAACUGCACCAGAGAUCAUAAACACAGACUAAUUACUGAUGUAAAGGAUCAAACCUCAAAUACCAACUUUUCUCACUAAAUCCCAACUUACUAAAUUUCUCCUCUCGUUUUGCUCUCUUUGGAUGAUCUUUCAAUGUCCUGGAAGAUUAAUUUCCAAAAUUGGGAAGUCUAAAAUUUCUACUACAAUGAGGAGUUGAAAGGAUCGAGGUUUUUAGCCCCAAAAACAGAAUCACCAAUUUAGCGUGAGCCGGUACUUAAUAGCCCGUUAAUCGAACUAUCCUCACUCAAUCAAGGACAAAAGAGCUUCUACACUUUCACAAUAGAUUAAUAUAAGUACGCAGCAUCCCAAGCAUCAUCACGAAACAAGAUUCCUCUGAACAAGAAAAUUUCUAAAGAGCAUAAUUCUAUUGCAUGUUUUGCCAAUUCAAUCAAUCGACUUUGUUUAAAUAGAUCAUGCACUCAUACAUCAAGUGCAUCGGGUCGGAUCCAAAAGCAUCCUAACAUAAUAAAGCAAGAACAGGAUACAAUAUGGAUUGUGCAAAGUUUUCAUGUGAAGUUUCGAUUGCCUUCUUUUCACAAAAGUUUCUGUGCAAAGACAAAUGAAAUGAAUACGCAUACAUCUGCAUGCACAAGACAUUCAUAUUUUUCGUGCGGGACAUAGAAUGGGCUUUCUCAGAAAAUAUAGAAAUCAACCUUAACACAAACAUACCACACUCGCCACGAAGCACCGAAUCACAUUUGACCUCGCCAACUAACAUCAAAGAGCUUCAAGUCAUGAGAAAUCGGUGUCGAGAAGCGCAUCUCUGUUCCGCGCAUCAGGUUGCUUCAAGGACCAAUCUUUAAGCUGCAAUGACAAAAGUUCCCACAUGCCAUGAGCAACAGCACAAUUAUAUGAUUACCUACAUAAGAUAACCCAGAAAAAGAAUCGACAACACAUAGCUUCCCAGUAGUCAGAAUAUACAGAACUGAUAGACGCUUAAUAACAUUCUCAACAAAUCCUUGGAGAGUUUACCAUCACAAUCAAGUGCCUCUAGCUAUUCUCGAGCUCCAACGAUGAAUCUGCAAAAUCAACCGCCUAAUAGGUUGAAGAAUCCACUCAGUACAAACUAUAUUCCCGCAACAUAACCGACCACACUAUUGGCAUGAGAAUAUAUACUACAAGGUUAGUGCUCUGAAAAAAACAGAGUAAAAAUAGUCUAUUUGGGGCAAAGAUACAGCCAACGGGACAAUAGAUGCCGAUGAAUAGUUUGACCUGGUAACCAAGAAGACGAAAGACAGGAUAAAAGAGCAUGUGAGCAGAAUAAACAAAAAGCACCACGCCUGCAUUUAGUUAUAGUCCACUUUGCUUAUAAGAUCCCCUGCUUAAGAUGUUAUGCUAACCAUCAAUUUUGGCAAAAACAGGUAAUUCAUUAGUGCAGAAUUAGCAAGGCCCAGUUAACCGAAAAACGAGCAGCCCAAAACUGCUCGUUGGACAGCCUGUCAUGAAAAAAUUAAUUAAAUUGUAUCUAAUAGAGUAGAGAGGAAUAAUAAUAAUGAUAUAGCUAAUAAUCA